AGUGAACGCUGGCGGUAGGCCUAACACAUGCAAGUCGAACGGCAGCACAGUAAGAGCUUGCUCUUACGGGUGGCGAGUGGCAGACGGGUGAGGAAUACAUCGGAAUCUACUUUUUCGUGGGGGAUAACGUAGGGAAACUUACGCUAAUACCGCAUACGACCUACGGGUGAAAGCAGGGGAUCUUCGGACCUUUCGCGAUUGAAUGAGCCGAUGUCGGAUUAGCUAGUUGGCGGGGUAAAGGCCCACCAAGGCGACGAUGCGUAGCUGGUCUGAGAGGAUGAUCAGCCACACUGGAACUGAGACACGGUCCAGACUCCUACGGGAGGCAGCAGUGGGGAAUAUUGGACAAUGGGCGCAAGCCUGAUCCAGCCAUACCGCGUGGGUGAAGAAGGCCUUCGGGUUGUAAAGCCCUUUUGUUGGGAAAGAAAAGCAGCAGGUUAAUACCCCGCUGUUCUGACGGUACCCAAAGAAUAAGCACCGGCUAACUUCGUG
rnacentral:rRNA from 1 species